UCAGGACACCAGAGAACCAUAG
rnacentral:miRNA from 1 species